GCUGCUGUGAGGUGCCCCUGCUUUAAGCAUCAGGGUUGGACUCUCCAGAGGUCCCUUCCAGUCCUCAGCACGCUGGGAUUCUGUGACAGGUGGCUGUUGAGCAAUGCCUUUGAUCUUGGCCAAAAUGCACUCUGGUUAAUGCUGUGUUGUGAGUAGAGCUGAAGACAUUCUAGAGGAGGAACCCAUCUAUAUUCCCAGCUUAAAAAGCAGAUCUCAAGAGAGCCUGCUGGACCUGCCUAGCUGCCUUCUAGAAAGUCAUCAGCUCCUUCUGAAGAGGAAUGGCAUCAGGGGGUCUCUGAUGGAUAAGAGUUUGGAUGAGAGGGGAAACACUCUGGAAGAAUUAACAGACAUAGUGUCAGAGCAGCAUGAAGAGUCUUGGCUGCUCUUCACAGUUUGCUGCAUGCCAGGCAGGAGCACU